rnacentral:lncRNA from 1 species
AAUGUAACUUCAUUUCGCCUAAUGUUGAACAAUAUUUUCUUUGCAUGUGGAUAUUUUGAUAUGCGGAUACUGAGAGACCUAGUGAUCCAGCCAAGAAAAGGCACAAUCAACUGAAUCAGCUGCUUUGAGAGUUGUCAAGAUUCCUGGCUCAUCUGAGACCCACUAGCAUAACACCAGAUAGAAAGCUGAAGCAGCAUAAAUGAAGAGAUGCCUCCUUUGUAAACCUAAGAUGUCCUCAGGUGGAAAGUGACUGCUAAAACAUUAUUUUGCCACAUGAACAAGAUCCUGAAUCUCCUGGGAUUCCAGCAGAAAGUGGAAGUCAGCCUUACACUUGAGCCCCAGUGCAACCUGCUGGCAUGUGCACAGCACGAGAUGAGCGGUAGACCUCAGGCUUUGUUUCAUCUAGAACAAUCAGAUAAGGCUGAUUUCUGAAGACAGUUCAGAAUGAACAGAUUUCAGUUGCCCCCAGUGAUAACCAUCAUUGUCAACAGGAGGCAUUCCAGGUACUGACACUAGAGCCCUAAAUGUUCAGAUACUGAACAUUUUAUCUUUUAUUUUAAAAACUACUGCUGGGAACUCUCUUUAUAGAAUGCAAUGGAUGAUGAGUAUUUAGAAGAAGAAUGAACCCUGAAGGAGAAUAAAGCACAAGCCUCAGAGAUUGUCA